UACGUAGGGACCAAGCGUUGUUCGGAUUUACUGGGCGUAAAGGGCGCGUAGGCGGCAAUUCAAGUCAGCUGUGAAAUCUCCGGGCUUAACUCGGAACGGUCAGCUGAUACUGCUUUGCUAGAGUGCAGAAGGGGCAAUCGGAAUUCUUGGUGUAGCGGUGAAAUGCGUAGAUAUCAAGAGGAACACCGGUGGCGAAGGCGGGUCUCUGGGCCGUAACUGACGCUGAGGAGCGAAAGCAUGGGGAGCGAACAGG
rnacentral:rRNA from 1 species